AUGCUUGAGGAGGAUAAUUCCAGCCAAACAAAAAGGGCUGUCAUUCUGAGGGGCCUGCCAUAUUUCCUCCGUGAGGAUCCUUCCAAGUUCCUCAGGACUGCAGAGCCCACAGACAUGGAGGACAGCAUGACGGGGGGAAUGAAUGUCGGCAUUGUCCUAGUAAAAGAAGGAGAGGAUCUUCUGGACAUUUUGGUGAUCCUGGAGCAACAGAUUGUUCUGCAUGACGUCAAUGACUACUCUCAUGCGGUAGUUAUGUUAAUGGGUCUGCUGUAUGCACUGAACAUUGACUACCCAAAGGAGCUGCAAUAUACGUUCGAGGUCAUCCAGAAGGUUCUCAUGAACAUCGGGGGUGAGCACCGCUCUGCAAGGGUUCAUGGACUGAGGAAUAGACUUCUUCGUAAAACUCAGUAGACACUACACUGAGACUGGGAGUUUUUGUUUAAAGGGAUAAUCUCUUCAAGUUCUGUUGCAGUAUUGUAACGGUCACUAACAUUCUUAGUUGGAGGAAUUUAAGACCUUUUCAAUGAUGUUCUAAGUUGACUGCAGUUCUAAACUCAGAUCCCAGAACACUGUUUAAAGCCAGAAAGGUGGCAGGGUCCGCCACAUAUUUCCAUGACUCCUGUUGUUUUAUCAAGUGGCAGUAAUUGAGAAUUUUUUGGAUUUCAGCUGUUGGACGACGUUAUAAGUGUUGUGAACGCAUCACCUCGGGCUUCAGGAGCUUGUUAUGAGCACGCUCACCUUCUCUGACAUGUUUAUUGACAAAAUGAAAAACUGAGAUUUUAAUCAGCAUAUGAAUCUGUUGUUCAACCUGUUUCUGUCAGCGUUGAUGCUCCAUUACAUGUGGACAGUUUACAGCAGUAAAAGGGAUAUUCCGGUGUAAUAUCCCUUUAAGUUCUGUUGCAGUAUUGUAACGGUCACUAACAUUCUUAGUUGGAGGAAUUUAAGACCUUUUCAAUGAUGUUCUAAGUUGACUUGCUGUUUUUGAGGAAAACAUUUUUUGUACAUGAUGAGAUGUGUUAAUCUGCUUUAUUA
rnacentral:lncRNA from 1 species